rnacentral:rRNA from 1 species
GACGAACGCUGGCGGCGUGCUUAACACAUGCAAGUCGAACGGAAAGGCCCUGCUUUUGUCGGGUGCUCGAGUGGCGAACGGGUGAUUCACACGUGAGUAACCUGCCCUUGACUUUGGGAUAACUUCAGGAAACUGGGGAUCAUACCGGAUAGGAGCUCCUGCUGCAUGGUGGGGGUUGGAAAGUUUCGGCGGGAGGGGCUGUACUCGCGGCUUAUCAGCUUGGUGGUAGGGUAGUGGAUUACCAAGACUUUGACGGGUAGCCGGCCUUAGAGGGUGAACGGCCACCAUGCGCCUGAGGUACGGCCCAGACUGCUACGGGAGGCAGCAGUGGAGAAUCUUACACAACGGGCGGACGCCCGAUACAGAAACGCCGCGUGUGUAAUGAGGGCCUUCAGGGUGCAAAACGCUUUCGUCUGAGACGAAGCGUGAAUGACGGUAAUGAAUAAAGAAGCACCGGCUAACUACGUG